rnacentral:lncRNA from 1 species
AGGUUCUUUCAUAGAUCAUUCUGUACCCAGCCGGUGUCCACCUUCCUAGCAACUGUCCAUCCAUGCAACACUGAGUCAGAGUCUGCGACACACAGAGUGAGGAAGACAUCAUCUAUUGUUGAGUGACUUAUAGUCUGAGUUGAUCUGGAAGCCACCAGCAGAAGACGCAAGGGGACUCUGUCACCUGUGGGCGGGCAGGAAAAGACAGCAGCUGGCAGAGGAGGACUUGCAGACAGCCAGCUGUGCCUCGGAGGGAGGGACUGGAAACCCUUUUCCAGUGCCCUGGGAGCAUCAGAGAGGGGAAGCAGCUGGCACAGGAUCACACAGCUCUGCAUAGCAGGGACAGCUUGGUCUCUGCACUCUUUGGCCUCUUUGAUGGGUUAGAAGUGUAAAACAGAAAGGUUUUCUAAGGGGAAAGCCGACAUGGGCUGAACUUGGCAAGAAAUUGUAAAGUGUGCGCUCUGUGAAAGGCACUGUUGGGAGAAUUGAGGGUAAGCUGCAGUGUGGGACCCAUCUGAUAAGAACUGUUAUCCAAAACACACAAGUUACAUGAAAUAAACUCAACAGCAAGAAAACAAACCACCUAGUUUUUUAAAAUGGCAGAAGUCCUGAACGGGCGCUACACCGAAGACUACAAAUGACAGAUACGUCCGUGCAAAGAUGCCCAUGUCUCAUGUCACCGGGGAACUGCAAGUGAAAGUUAGCCGGCACUGCAUACUUGCAGAAGGACAAAAUGCAAAGCCCUGACCACACCAAAUGCUGGAGGGGGAGGAGUCUGUUGGAAGGCGGCUCAGCAGACUCAGGAGCCGACCCCCUCUCAGCACACGACCCAGCCGCCCUGCUCCUCGCCAUUCGCCCCAGGAGCUGAACACUGUCCUCACACAGGUGUGCAGCAGCCUUGCUCAUCAUUGCCUUUACCUCCACACCCAGCAAGACAACUUGUGGGAUUUUGAUAGGAUCAUGUUGACUCUGUGGAUCAAGUGGGGAAGAAGGGACAUUGUGGCAGUACUGAGUUUCCUCCCCUCGAACAUGGAUGGAACUUCCGUUUCUUUAGUUCUUCUUUGAUUUCUUUCAUCACAGUUUUGCAGAUUUCCUCAUGUCCAUUUUUUGUUAGGUUUGUAACUAAGUAUUUUCUUUCUUUGGGUGUUAGUAGAAAUGGUUUGGUGUUUUCAGUUUGAAAUCUACUUACUUAUUGCCAGUGUACAAGAAAGCAGUUGGUUCAGCAGGGCUAGACUGAGGUGUAGGAGUCGAGGUUUUCCAGGGAAGCACAGCCAAGAACCUACAGAAUGUGCAUCUGCACGCAGACACGUACACAUAAACAAGCACACAUAAUCACGCAUGCUCACAUACAGAUAUACACAUGUGUAAACAUGGACACACGUAUGCAUAGAUACAUUGGAGGGGUGAUCAAAGAACACCGCCAGUGUUUAGUGUGGUGCUACCACACGUGGCCCUGCAGCCAUACUUUGAACACAGACACGUUAUCUUCGGGGGGUGGGGUAGCUUAGAGCUAGGGCAACCCUCAGUUUUCCCCUGAAAUUCCCUUUUUUGUGCUUUAUUUUCCUGGAGCUCUGGGCAUGGAACGCAGGGCCUCAAGCUUGCUAGGCAAGUGGCAAUCACAGAGUCAGCCGCACCCAGCCCCAACUGGGUGAAUGCUUAAAUUAAAAAAAAUUAUCACAGUGAAAGACACACAGACAUGAAUCCCCCUCGAAAUACGCCUCGCUUCUAACACACUUACCCCUUUGUUCUUGGCCACGUGUUUUUACUGUAAUGUUUUCCAUUUAAUUUUAAACAUUGACUGUAUUUUUCCAUCGCCCCUUUUACACCUGUGUGUGUGUGUGUGUGUGUGUGUGUGUACAUAUGCAUGCGUACUCGUCGCACAUGUGUCUCAGGGCACUGCCUGGCUCUGGAGGUGCUGCAGACCUGAGGGAGCCGACAGCACAGGUUCCAGUCCGAGGGCGGGCGAGUGCCAGCGUCCGGCCCCACAAGUCAGGCUGGCAAAGUCUGCUGUCACUCAACAUCACGGUCCAUUUAGGGCUGCUACAGUGACAUGCCUAGGAUUGAACCAUUAAAGAACAGGGAUUAUUUUCCCUCUGUGCCGGAGGCUGGGAAGGCUGGAUUCAGGUGCAGUUGUAGGGGGC